rnacentral:rRNA from 1 species
GUGGAUUAGAUACCCGGGUAGUCCACGCCGUAAACGAUGAUGACUAGCUGUCGGGGCUCUUGGAGUUUCGGUGGCGCAGCUAACGCGUUAAGUCAUCCGCCUGGGGAGUACGGCCGCAAGGUUAAAACUCAAAGAAAUUGACGGGGGCCUGCACAAGCGGUGGAGCAUGUGGUUUAAUUCGAAGCAACGCGCAGAACCUUACCAGCGUUUGACAUGGUAGGACGGUUUCCAGAGAUGGAUUCCUCCCCUUACGGGGCCUACACACAGGUGCUGCACGGCUGUCGCCAACU